ACUUCUAACACUGCUCUAUAUUCUAAAUGACUGUAGGUACCAACUGCAAGCAUUUCUGUGGAGGGUAAUCCUGCUCUUAAUCGUGUAAGAUGGACCCAAUCUGGAAGAGAGAUUGCCGUGGGUGAUUCCGAAGGACAGAUUGUUAUAUACGAUGUGGGAGAGCAGAUUGCUGUCCCCCGCAAUGACGAAUGGGCACGGUUCGGCCGGACACUCGCAGAAAUUAAUGCAAACCGAGCUGAUGCAGAGGAGGAAGCUGCCGCCCGAAUACCUGCCUAGUUCCUGAAAAGAGGAGGGUAGCCUUAAUGGAUUUGGGGAAGACUCUUAAGUAGAUCCUAAGACCAUUUGCAUGCUUCUGUCUAAAUGAUAACUAAAGGAAACUUCGUGGAUUAAACUGUGGAUGUAAUGCAGCAAAGCAAACCUCACAAUGUUCCUUUUUAUAUAACGAGCAUCUUGUUUUGGAUUUGUGUCAUUUUUAAUACAGCUGAUUAACUUUACAGAGUGCAGCUUUUCUGAAUUCUAAUACACAGGUGUAUAUUUGGUAUUAGUUACUCUUUUGAAUUCUUUUCAAACACUAUAUACAGUUAUUUCUAAAGCACAGAUUAAAUAAGUU